GACGAACGCUGGCGGCGUGCUUAACACAUGCAAGUCGAACGAUGAAGCUGGAGCUUGCUCCGGCGGAUUAGUGGCGAACGGGUGAGUAACACGUGAGCAAUCUGCCCUUCACUCUGGGGUAACUGCGGGAAACUGCAGCUGAUACCGGAUACGAAGCCUUGGGGCAUCCCAGGGCUUGGAAAGAAUUUCGGUGAAGGAUGAGCUCGCGGCCUAUCAGCUAGUUGGUGAGGUAAUGGCUCACCAAGGCGACGACGGGUAGCCGGCCUGAGAGGGUGACCGGCCACACUGGGACUGAGACACGGCCCAGACUCCUACGGGAGGCAGCAGUGGGGAAUAUUGCACAAUGGGCGAAAGCCUGAUGCAGCGACGCCGCGUGAGGGAUGAAGGCCUUCGGGUUGUAAACCUCUUUUAGUAGGGAAGAAGCGCAAGUGACGGUACCUACAGAAAAAGCACCGGCUAACUACGUGCCAGCAGCCGCGGUAA
rnacentral:rRNA from 1 species